rnacentral:rRNA from 1 species
UCGGAUUGAAGCCUUGGUGACUGAGCGGCGGACGGGUGAGUAACGCGUGGGUAACCUGCCUCAUACAGGGGGAUAACAGUUGGAAACGGCUGCUAAUACCGCAUAAGCGCACAGUACCGCAUGGUACGGUGUGAAAAACUCCGGUGGUAUGAGAUGGACCCGCGUCUGAUUAGGUAGUUGGUGGGGUAACGGCCUACCAAGCCGACGAUCAGUAGCCGACCUGAGAGGGUGACCGGCCACAUUGGGACUGAGACACGGCCCAAACUCCUACGGGAGGCAGCAGUGGGGAAUAUUGCACAAUGGGGGAAACCCUGAUGCAGCGACGCCGCGUGAGCGAUGAAGUAUUUCGGUAUGUAAAGCUCUAUCAGCAGGGAAGAAAAUGACGGUACCUGACUAAGAAGCCCCGGCUAACUACGUGCCAGCAGCCGCGGUAAUACGUAGGGGGCAAGCGUUAUCCGGAUUUACUGGGUGUAAAGGGAGCGUAGACGGCAUGGCAAGCCAGAUGUGAAAGCCCGGGGCUCAACCCCGGGACUGCAUUUGGAACUGUCAGGCUAGAGUGUCGGAGAGGAAAGCGGAAUUCCUAGUGUAGCGGUGAAAUGCGUAGAUAUUAGGAGGAACACCAGUGGCGAAGGCGGCUUGCUGGACGAUGACUGAC